CUUAUUGUGAGAUUCUUGUAUCAGCUAUUACAAAAAAAAUUUACAAAAAAUAAUUUUAAACAUGAUGCAAUAAGCAUGAACAAAGUAACAAUCCCAGAAUUCAAAUCUUAAUUGAAAUGGUUAGAAACAGAGCAAAGUCGUUUUAAAAUGACGAUAUCAUCUAAAAUAUUGUUCUUAUAUCAUGAAAUUACACUUUUCAAUAGAUCAGCAAGCCAAAGCUGUAAGGAAAAUUUUUACCAAAAUCUGUGACAUUUACUGACCAUUAACCUUAAUCAUAGAUACAUAUUUUCUUUAAACAAGAUCAAACUUCAAAGUGACAAUAAAAAAUUAUUAUUCAAUCUUACAAAUAUCAUAAAAAUGUGAAUCACUGUCAAUCCUGUUUAACAUGUACAAUCUAUGAUGAAACAUAGCAAUAGGUGGAUAAAAUGUUUUACAAAAUCCUGACAGAAAUAUAUAAUACUAUCACUAACUCAGUUUUGUAUUGCACAGUAAAAAAUAUCAUAUAAAAUUAUUAAGUACAUUACAAAAUUUAUAAAAUGAUUUUAACAAUAUGAAUAUAAAAAUAUCUAUUUUCUACAAGUGAAAUGAAGCAUUUUUGAACAGCAUUAUCAGAUAAUAUUGCUUGGGCAUGCCAAGCUAAAUUAAAAAAAAUAAUUUUAUAUUGAUGAUUUUAUGUCAAAAUAAUGAAAAAACCCAAUAAAAGUGGUAUCUUUGAUCUGGAUCAUCGUUUAGUAUAGUCUCAGCAGUCAAAGUUUAACAAAACACUUGAUAAAAUUCUAAGGUUGUUUACUGCUUUUUCAUCUGUUUAUAUGAAUAUAAGAAAUAAAGGUUUUGAAAAAAUUACAAGUGAUUACCUCAAAACUUGCUUCCAUUGCACAAAAAUAUAAUGAUAUAUAAAAAGUAUCAAUUUCCCUUAUUGAAUUCUAUGAUUGGAGGUUACCAACAUUACAUGUACCACAAACUAAUGUUAAGCAAGAAUUAAGGUGGUACCUAACACUACAGGGAGAUAACUCUGUAAAAUCAUCUAAACGUUUAAAUUACGUUGUGUUGUUACGGGAAUAUUUAAGCUUUUCAAUUAUCAAAUUAAGUGUUUGUCAAACUACUAUAUAACCAGUGUAAUAUUUCUGAAAAAAUGGUUGGUUAAAUUUUUU
rnacentral:lncRNA from 1 species